UACGUAGGGUCCGAGCGUUGUCCGGAAUUAUUGGGCGUAAAGGGCUCGUAGGCGGUCUGUUGCGUCGGGAGUGAAAACUUACAGCUUAACUGUGAGCGUGCUUCCGAUACGGGCAGACUUGAGGCAUUCAGGGGAGAACGGAAUUCCCGGUGUAGUGGUGGAAUGCGUAGAUAUCAGGAGGAAUACCGGUGGCGAAAGCGACUCUCUGGACGGCAACUGACGCUGAGGCACGAAAGCGUGGGGAGCGAACGGG
rnacentral:rRNA from 1 species